rnacentral:lncRNA from 1 species
CCCUCCGUUUCAUCUUCUUUCUCGCGAUCUUUGGGGCGAGACCCUCGCCACGCUUUUGCGGCGGCGCCGCCCUUGCAAUGCAACGGCGCUGCGGGUCAAGGCGCGCCGUCGACCCCCGUCCGCCGUGCCGGCAACCGCGCCCCGGCCACCGCUCCUUCCUCUGCUCCGGCCUCCGGCGUUCCGCUUCCCCUAUGGCGCGAAGGAAGUGAGGGUUCACAGUCGCCCACUCGCUCCUCGCCUGCGCCCAUCAUGCGUAGAGCCGGUGAGGGGUCCGUCGGCGGGCACAACGUGGUAGGAGGACUUGGGAUCUGCCAGCAUCCAGGAGAAAUCCUCUUGCUCUCCCAGUUCGUCUCUUCCACGCGAUUGCCGGCGACCGGCGCUUUCAUCAGUACACGAGUUGAGGUGAGCUGAGAGGAUACUCCAAUAUUGAUCUAGAUGAUGCCGCACUCAACCCGUUGGUUUGCUAAUUUCACUCCGCUCCCGCGAUGGCCGCCACCUGUUCGAUAGAAUGCACAACAUGGCUGCAGCGAGUGGCAGACACAAUUUCCGCGACCUCUGCGACGAGCUCCUAUGGCGUGUGUUGUCCUUCCUUCCACAGGACGAUGCCCUGCAGGCCUGUGUGCCACCCGGUGGCGCAACCUCUAUAGGGGCGACCAACCUGCUCCUCGUUUUGAACAGUUGGUGAAGCUGGUCAACCUGUACAAUUUCUAUUUUUGGGUGAAGUUGGUACCGACUGGGAGUCUGGUAGUUCUUGCAGAUUUUACUUCUAUCCAGGUACUCCCUCCGUUCGGAAUUACUUGUCUCGGAAAUGGACAUAUCUAAAACUAAAAUACGUCUAGAUACAUCCAUUUUCGCGACAAGUAAUUCUGAACGGAGGGAGUAGUUAGAACUUCUAUUUACAAACCUUGAGCUGAUGCAGAUGAUGCAAUGUUGUUUCCCGUAACUCUACUUUGGUCCAACCAUGUUCGGCAAGAUGCCCUGACUUUACUUCUUUUGGUGUUCUUUAGCCAGUAUAGACUCUGGAUUGUGAUAAGAGAUCAAUUGUCCAGGCUGUUCUGACAAACAUAUUUUAUUACUGGGGCAGUAUUAUAAGCUAUUAAUUAUGCUUUUAAAAGUUAAUUUCAUUCAUCUGCGAAAGUAGUAUAGCAUGUAACCUUGGAGGGGUUGAACUAGAUACCAAUCCAAGCAGGCCGCAACGAAGAUAAUAUAGUUUUUGGUCUUUUCUAUUACCAUUUUAGUUCAGAUUACUUCCAAAACAUUGCAUGGAUUUUUGCACAUAUUGGAUACUUUAUUUCUGUAAUUUCAUGCUGUUUAAUUACAUGUAAGUUGUGUGCUCUAUUUAAUUAGGUGUUUGUCUUUUGGCUUGCUACAUAGUAUGAUUUUAGCUAAUAAAAUGUACACAUCUUCGCAGGGACUGUAGCAAGACAUAUCGGAAGAUCAUAAUUCAAUCUAAGAUGUCGUCCGAAAUCAAAGAUGAUCCAUUUAUAAUUUGAUGUCGAAAUUAUUAUGAUGAUCAUUCAUGUGGGAUGCACAUAUGCAUGAUUUUCUUCUUAUAAAGCAAUUCUUUUGGAACUUAGAUUUAGUAAUUACUUGACACAUGAAGUGUGUAGUAGGCCACUCACAAAAGGCAUAGUUUCCAUCCAGCCGGUUUGGCGGAUUUGAAUUGAUGUUUCGUCAAUUCCUGAAUUUGCUACUCUCCUACAUAGUCUUGUUCAUGUAACUCCCAUUAGUUCACCGAGUGAAGUUUAGGGAUUGCUUUUGUUCAAAGCUAUUAACUCUUAAAUGUAUUUUUGAGUAUGUAUAUAGUACCAUAGUGAGUGGCGAGUAUAAGUUAAAGCAAGAGCCUAUAAUUUGUCAACCGAAAAUGUUAACACCCACACGUGUGGGCGUUCACCAUAUCGACCACACGCAUCCAUCAUCGUUCAAUACUAUACGCACGAACCUUGGCACAAUCUGGCCGAUUUUCUGUGCCAUGUAGGACAAGGCGCGUGUGUGGUGUGUGACAUAGUUCGCCCGNNNNNNNNNNNNNNNNNNNNNNNNNNNNNNNNNNNNNNNNNNNNNNNNNNNNNNNNNNNNNNNNNNNNNNNNNNNNNNNNNNNNNNNNNNNNNNNNNNNNNNNNNNNNNNNNNNNNNNNNNNNNNNNNNNNNNNNNNNNNNNNNNNNNNNNNNNNNNNNNNNNNNNNNNNNNNNNNNNNNNNNNNNNNNNNNNNNNNNNNNNNNNNNNNNNNNNNNNNNNNNNNNNNNNNNNNNNNNNNNNNNNNNGCCCACACGCCACGUGCCGACUGUGGUUGACGUCAAACACGUCGCGCACUUCGCCCCCCUCCCCCUCAGGGUUCCAUUUACUCAUCCCCGCAGUUACUCGCACAACCCACUUCGCAUUUCAAACCAUUGGAGGAGAAGACGAGGGGAGAAGGCGACGGCGGAGGCGGAAGAGUCGAUGGUGUUUGCGGCCGUCGGUGGUGCUCGCCAGACCGGAGCGGCUUCGCCGGAGCGCCUGCAGAUUGAAGGUAAUGCUCACUCCCACUCUCACAAUCCUUGCCUGCAUUUCCCCCCCUUCCCUUCCUGUUCGAUGCUUCGCUCGAGAUUCGUAGAGAUUCAGGCGAUUUGGCGAUGCGUCGGCGUUCCUGCCGGCGGCGGAGUCCUGUGCUUGCCGUUUUUGGUGGAACUGGGCAGUUUCGUUGCCGCCGUGGUGGCGGUCUCGCCGGUGUGGUUCUGCCUGUCCGGAGACACACAUUGGUUAUGCCUUGGGAUUGGGCCGUUGUUUUCCGGUCUGAUAGUUGCGCAUUGGUUUGAAUUGGUAUUUGCGAUCAGUUCAGUGAGAAUUUUGGGGUUGAAUUUCAAGUCAUUAUAGUUGCCAUUGAACCCUAGAUCUAGUUAGUUGUUUUUCAAACUGCAGUAUGAAGGCAAACGUGGUAGUUUGAGUAACUGUCAUGACUGUAUGGCAACUAAUUUCCUGAAUGACUGUAAUAGUUGCCACAAACAUGCUUUCCCAUGCGGCAACCAAUUUAUUGAAUGACUGUGAUAGUUGCCACAAACAUGCUUUUCCAUGUGGCAACUAAUUUUCUGAAUUACUGUGAUAGUUGCCACAAACAUGCUUUUCCAUGUGGCAACUAAUUUUCCUGAAUGUUGUGAUAGUUGCCACACUGUAUGAAUGGUAAAAGUGUAGUAAAUCGGUAGUCACUGCAGUUUCAGCAACCAACUGCACUGGAUGGCAACUAAUCUGCACAUCAACUGUGUCUGUUUGCCACAUGGAUAGUAUAUUCUUGUGGCAAAUAGAAUGUGAACACACUGUGGUUGUUGCCAUGUUAUAGAAAGGAUACUGUGGCAAAUUGGCUGCAUAACAUGGCAACUAAUUUGCACAUCAAUUGUGUCUAAUGCCAUACAUAUGCUUUCCAUGUGGCAAGUAUUUUGUCUGAACACAGCAUGUCUGUUGCCAUGUUACAGUCAGUAUAAUGUGGCAAAUUCAUUGUACGGCAGACGUAAUUUUCGUGUUUUCCCAUGAUGACUUGUGAUAUCUGAACACACUGUGGCAAUUUCAGGUUGUUCAUUGGAUGUUUUUCAUCGCUUUUUUGUAUUAUGUGUUGCAUUUUAACAUGGCAAUUUCAACCUAGCACAUUUUUUCCACUGAACACAUGACAAGUCAUUAUUAUAUUAGGACAGGGUGUGAGCUGCCACAUCUUAGGUUUUGUGCAGUGGAGGAUUUUGUGACUUUCUUUCGUACUAUCUUGUGCUAACAUGGAAACUUCAACAUUUUCUUUUUAAGUGCAUUUACGAUCUGUUCGCUUUUUUCCAAAUGUAACCAAUCUGCUUAAUUGCCACAUUUAUGUUUUCGACAAUCAUAUGGGGGGUGCGUGCAUGUUCAUGUGAUAUUUUGCAUUCACUAGUUGACAUUUUUCACUCGAACCCAUACGGCAAGGACAUUCUGUUAUGUGGCAACUGCUUACUUCCUGCAUUUUCAUUUCCACCGUGACAAUUUGGUCUGUUCUUACCUCAGCAAAAUGGCUCGCGGUGAUCAUCAAAACGAUGAUGAUGAUUUCAUGGAUCCAUCACAGCAGAAUCGGGCAACUGGACGGAGAAAAGAGGGUGAUGAGGUAACUGUCCACACACCCUCCUCCUCUUGCAUAUGUUAUUGGUUGCCACCUCGAGCUUGCAGUCGUCUGUCAUGAACUAAAAUUUCAUGAUAGUGCAAACAUGGCAACAACUGAUCAUUUUUGUCUAUUUUUUGCAGAAGAAGAAACAUAUUCGCAAUAGAGCCUCCCAAGAACGACUGACUUCAUUGACUGACAGAUUUACCAACGAUCAGAAGGGAGCUGCUGCUAAGAUGGGUAUGCAGGCUCUGAUGAUUGUUCGCUGCACGAAUCUUGUCAAUCCUAUAUGCGAUUGGCUUGGUGAGAUUUACGACCCCGCCUCCAGGGAAUUUGUGAUUCCGGAACAUGGAAGACUGCUGUUGAACGAGGAAUCUGUGUUCUGCACUUUGGGUGUGCCUCGUGGACAAAUCAAAGUCCCGUAUGAGGUCAAUAACAAGAUCGAGGAAGCGCCGUUCCCCCGUUUGUUUUCUGGAUUGGAAUCCAUGCCGAACACGUCUGUACUGGCAGAUUCGCUGCAGGCCAUGACAACCCAUGCGAGGUUUUUAAGAUGAAACUACUCAUGUACCUCAUCUCAGCUGUUUUCGCGCCGACCAAUUCUCUUCGCCCAAGCAACAAAUGCUUCCCCAUCCUGGUGAAUGAUCUAUCUUUACUACAUUAUUUUCCAUCAAUCUUUUGGCUCCGGUUGAAGGAAAUAUGCCCUAGAGGCAAUAAUAAAGUUAUUAUUUAUUUCCUCAUAUCAUGAUAAAUGUUUAUUAUUCACGCUAGAAUUGUAUUAACCGGAAACAUGAUACAUGUGUGAAUACAUAGACAAACAUAUAGGCACUAGUAUGCCUCUACUUGACUAGCUCGUUUAUCAAAGAUGGUUAUGUUUCCUAGCCAUGGACAAAAGAGUUGUCAUUUGAUUAACGGGAUCACAUCAUUAGAAGAAUGAUGUGAUUGACAUGACCCAUUCCGUUAGCCUAGCACUUGAUCGUUUAGUAUGUUGCUAUUGCUUUCUUCAUAACCUAUACAUGUUCUUGUAACUAUGAGAUUAUGCAACUCCCGUUUACCGGAGGAACACUUUGGGUACUACCAAACGUCACAACGUAACUGGGUGAUUAUAAAUGAGUACUACAGGUGUCUCCAAAGGUACAUGUUGGGUUGGCAUAUUUCGAGAUUAGGUUUUGUCACUCCGAUUGUCGGAGAGGUAUCUCUGGGCCCUCUCAGUAAUGCACAUCACUAUAAGCCUUGCAAGCAAUGUAGCUAAUGAGUUAGUUACGGAAUGAUGCAUUACGUAACGAGUAAAGAGACUUGCCGGUAACGAGAUUGAACUAGGUAUUGGAUACCGACGAUCGAAUCUCGGGCAAGUAACAUACCGAUGACAAAGGGAACAACAUAUGUUGUUAUGCGGUUUGACCGAUAAAGAUCUUCGUAGAAUAUGUAGGAACCAAUAUGGGCAUCCAGGUUCCGCUAUUGGUUAUUGACAGAGAAUGGUUCUAGGUCAUGUCUACAUAGUUCUCGAACCCGUAGGGUCUGCACGCUUAACGUUACGAUGACAGUUUUAUUAUGAGUUUAUAAGUUUUGAUGUACCGAAGUUUGUUCGGAGUCCUGGAUGUGAUCACGGACAUGAUGAGGAGUCUCGAAAUGGUCAAGACAUAAAGAUUUAUAUAUUGGACGACUAUAUUCGGACACCGGAAGUGUUCCGGACGUUUUCGGAGAAAACCGGAGUGCCGGAGGGUUACCGGAACCCCCCCGGGAGAAGUAAUGGGCCUUAUGGGCCUUAGUGGAGAAGAGAGAGGGGCGGCCAGCAUGGGCCGCGUGCCCCCUCCCCCUCUGGUCCGAAUUGGACUAGGGGGGGGCGGCGCCCCCUCUUUCCUUCUCCCUCUCCCCCUUCCUUUCCCCUCCUAGUAGGAGUAGGAAAGGGGGAGUCCUACUCCUACUAGGAGGAGGAUUCCUCCUCCUGGCGCGCCCUCUAGUGCCGGCCGGCCUCCCCCUUGCUCCUUUAUAUACGGGGGCAGGGGGGCACCCUAGGACACACAAGUUGAUCUACGGAUCGUUCCUUAGCCGUGUGCGGUGCCCACCUCCACCAUAUUCCACCUCGGUCAUAUCGUCGCGGAGUUUAGGCGAAGCCCUGCGUCGGUAGAACAUCAUCAUCGUCAUCACGCCGUCGUGCUGACGGAACUCAUCCCCGAAGCUUUGCUGGAUCGGAGCCCGGGGAUCGUCAUCGAGCUGAACGUGUGCUGAACUCGGAGGUGCCGUACGUUCGGUACUUGGAUCGGUCGGAUCGUGAAGAUGUACGACUACAUCAACCGCGUUGUCAUAACGCUUCCGCUUACGGUCUACAAGGGUACGUGGACAAACACUCUCCCCUCUCGUUGCUAUGCCAUGACCAUGAUCUUGCGUGUGCGUAGGAAAUUUUUUGAAAUUACUACGUUCCCCAACAGUGGCAUCCGAGCCUAGGUUUUAUGCGUUGAUGUUAUAUGCACGAGUAGAACACAAGUGAGUUGUGGGCGAUACAAGUCAUACUGCUUACCAGCAUGUCAUACUUUGGUUCAGCGGUAUUGUUGGAUGAAGUGGCCUAGACCGACAUUACGCGUACACUUACGCGAGACUGGUUUUAUCGCCGUGCUUUGCACACAGGUGACUAGCGGGUGUCUGUUUCUCCAACUUUAGUUGAACCGAGUGUGGCUACGCCCGGUCCUUGCGAAGGUUAAAACAGCACUAACUUGACGAACUAUCGUUGUGGUUUUGAUGCGUAGGUAAGAACGGUUCUUGCUCAGCCCGUAGCAGCCACGUAAAAUUUGCAACAACAAAGUAGAGGACGUCUAACUUGUUUUUGCAGGGCAUGUUGUGAUGUGAUAUGGUCAAGACAUGAUGCUAUAUUUUAUUGUAUGAGAUAAUCAUGUUUUGUAACCGAAGUUAUCGACAACUGGCAGGAGCCAUAUGGUUGUCGCUUUAUUGUAUGAAAUGCAAACACCCUGUAAUUGCUUUACUUUAUCACUAAGCGGUAGCGAUAGUCGUAGAAGCAAUAGAUGGCGUAACGACAAUGAUGCUACGAUGGAGAUCAAGGUGUCGUGCCGGUGACGAUGGUGAUCACGACGGUGCUUCGGAGAUGGAGAUCACAAGCACAAGAUGAUGAUGGCCAUAUCAUAUCACUUAUAUUGAUUGCAUGUGAUGUUUAUCCUUUAUGCAUCUUAUCUUGCUUUGAUUGACGGUAGCAUUUUAAGAUGAUCUCUCACUAAUUAUCAAGAAGUGUUCUCCCUGAGUAUGCACCGUUGCGAAAGUUCUUCGUGCUGAGACACCACGUGAUGAUCGGGUGUGAUAGGCUCUACGUUGAAAUACAACGGGUGCAAAACAGUUGCACACGCGGAAUACUCAGGUUAAACUUGACGAGCCUAGCAUAUACAGAUAUGGCCUCGGAACACGGGGACCGAAAGGUCGAACGUGAAUAUAGUAGAUAUGAUCAACAUAGAGAUGUUCACCAUUGAAACUACUCCAUCUCACGUGAUGAUCGGACAUGGUUUAGUUGAUUUGGAUCAUGUAAUCACUUAGAUGACUAGAGAGAUGUCUGUCUAAGUGGGAGUUCUUAAGUAAUAUGAUUAAUUGAACUUAAAUUUAUCAUGAACUUAGUACCUGAUAGUAUUUUGCUUGUCUAUGUUUGUUGUAGAUAGAUGGCUCGUGUUGUUGUUCCGUUGAAUUUUAAUGCGUUCCUUGAGGAAGCAAAGUUGAAAGAUGAUGGUAGCAAUUACACGGACUGGGUCCGUAACCUGAGGAUUAUCCUCAUUGCUGCACAGAAGAAUUACGUCCUGGAAGCACCACUGGGUGCCAGGCCUGCUGCUGAUGCAACUGAUGACGUUAAGAACGUCUGGCAGAGCAAAGCUGAUGACUACUCGAUAGUUCAGUGUGCCAUGCUUUACGGCUUAGAACCGGGUCUUCAAUGACGUUUUGAACGUCAUGGAGCAUAUGAGAUGUUCCAGGAGUUGAAGUUAAUAUUUCAAGCAAAUGCCUGGAUUGAGAUAUAUGAAGUCUCCAAUAAGUUCUAUAGCUGCAAGAUGGAGGAGAAUAGUUCUGUCAGUGAACACAUACUCAAAAUCUCUGGGUAUAAUAAUCACUUGAUUCAACUGGGAGUUAAUCUUCCUGAUGAUAGUGUCAUUGAUAGAAUUCUUCAAUCACUGCCACCAAGCUACAAGAGCUUCGUGAUGAACUAUAAUAUGCAAGGGAUGGACAAGACUAUUCCCGAGCUCUUUGCAAUGCUAAAAGCCGCGAAGGUAGAAAUCAAGAAGGAGCAUCAAGUGUUGAUGGUUAACAAGACCACCAGUUUCAAGAAAAAGGGCAAAGGGAAGAAGAAGGGGAACUUCAAGAAGAACAGCAAACAAGUUGCUGCUCAAGAGAAGAAACCCAAGUCUGGACCUAAGCCUAAGACUGAGUGCUUCUACUGCAAGCAGACUGGACACUGGAAGCGGAACUGCCUCAAGUAUUUGGCGGAUAAGAAGGAUGGCAAAGUGAACAAAGGUAUAUGUGAUAUACAUGUUAUUGAUGUGUACCUUACUAAUGCUCGCAGUAGUACCUGGGUAUUUGAUACUGGUUCUGUUGCUAAUAUUUGCAACUCGAAACAGGGACUACGGAUUAAGCGAAGAUUGGCUAAGGACGAGGUGACGAUGCGCGUGGGAAAUGGUUCCAAAGUCGAUGUGAUCGCAGUCGGCACGCUACCUCUACAUCUACCAUCGGGAUUAGUUUUAGACCUAAAUAAUUGUUAUUUGGUGCCAGCGUUGAGCAUGAACAUUAUAUCUGGAUCUUGUUUGAUGCGAGACGGUUAUUCAUUUAAAUCAGAGAAUAAUGGUUGUUCUAUUUAUAUGAGUAAUAUCUUUUAUGGUCAUGCACCCUUGAAGAGUGGUCUAUUUUUAUUGAAUCUCGUAGUAGUGAUACACAUAUUCAUAGUGUUAAAACCAAAAGAUGCAGAGUUGAUAAUGAUAGUGCAACUUAUUUGUUGCACUGCCAUUUAGGUCAUAUCGGUGUAAAGCGCAUGAAGAAACUCCAUACUGAUGGGCUUUUGGAAUCACUUGAUUAUGAAUCACUUGGUACUUGCGAACCGUGCCUCAUGGGCAAGAUGACUAAAACGCCGUUCUCCGGUACUAUGGAGCGAGCAACUGAUUUAUUGGAAAUCAUACAUACUGAUAUUUGUGGUCCAAUGAAUGUUGAAGCUCGCGGCCGGUAUCGUUAUUUUCUCACCUUCACAGAUGAUUUGAGAAGAUAUGGGUAUAUCUACUUAAUGAAACACAAGUCUGAAACAUUUGAAAAGUUCAAAGAAUUUCAGAGUGAAGUGGAAAAUCAUCGUAACAAGAAAAUAAAGUUUCUACAAUCUGAUCGUGGAGGAGAAUAUUUGAGUUACGAGUUUGGUUUACAUUUGAACCAAUGCGGAAUAGUUUCGCAACUCACGCCACCCGGAACACCACAACGAAAUGGUGUGUCCGAACGUCGAAAUCGUACUUUACUAGAUAUGGUGCGAUCUAUGAUGUCUCUUACUGAUUUACCGCUAUCGUUCUGGGGUUAUGCUUUAGAGACGGCCGCAUUCACGUUGAAUAGGGCACCAUCAAAAUCCGUUGAGACGACGCCUUAUGAACUGUGGUUUGACAAGAAACCAAAGUUGUCGUUUCUUAAAGUUUGGGGCUGCGAUGCUUAUGUGAAGAAACUUCAACCAGAUAAGCUCGAACCUAAAUCGAAGAAAUGUGUCUUCAUAGGAUACCCAAAAGAAACUAUUGGGUACACCUUCUAUCACAGAUCUGAGGGCAAGAUUUUCGUUGCUAAAAUCGGAUCCUUUCUAUAGAAGGAGUUUCUCUCGAAAGAAGUGAGUGGGAGGAAAGUAGAACUUGAUGAGGUAACUGUACCUGCUCCCUUAUUGGAAGGUAGUUCAUCACAAGAACCGGUUCCUGUGACAACUAUAACAUAUCAGGGAUAGUGAUGUUUCCCCAAAGUCAUUGCCACCAAGCUGCUAGAGCUUCGUGAUUAACUAUAACAUAUCAGGGAUAGAUAUGAUGAUCCUUGAAAUAUUCAUGAUGUUUGACACCGCGAAAGUAGAAAUCAAGAAGGAGCAUCAAUUGUUGAUGGUUGGUGAAACCACUAGUUUCAAGAAGGGCAAGGGAACAAAGGGAUACUUCAUGAAACGGCAAUUCAGCUGCUGCUCUAGUGAAGAAACCCAAGGUUGAACCCAAACCCGAGACUAAGUGCUUCUGUAAUAAGGGGAACAACCACUGGAGCAGCAUUACCCUAGAUACUUGGUAGAUGAGAAGGCUGGCAAGGUCGAUAGAAGUAUAUUGGAUAUACAUUAUGUUAAUGUGUACUUUACUAGUACUCCUAGUAGCACCAGGGUAUUGGAUACCGGUUCGGUUGCUAAGUGUUAGUAACUCGAAAUAAAAGCUACGGAAUAAACGGAGACUAGUUAAAGGUGAGCUGACGAUAUAUGUUGGAAGUGUUUCCAAGGUUGAUAUGAUCAAGCAUCGCACGCUCCCUCUACCACCGAGAUUGGUGUUUGCGUUGAGCAUAGACAUGAUUGGAUUAUGUCUAUCGCAAUAUGGUUAUUCAUUUAAGGAGAAUAAUGGUUACUCUGUUUUUGAAUAAUACCUUCAAUGGUCUUGCACCUAAAGGAAUGGUUUAUUGAAUCUCGGUCGUAGUGAUACACAUUUUCAUGCCAAAAGAUAUAAGAUAGUAAUGAUAGUACCACUUACUUGUGGCACUGCCAUGUAAGUCAUAAUGGUAUAAAACGCAUGAAGAAGCUCCAUGUUGAUGGAUCUUUGGACUCACUCGUUUUUGAAAAGUUUGAGACAUGCGAACCAUGUCUAUUGGUGUAUAUGCAUGAAGAAACUCCAUGCAAAUGGAUCGUUCGGACUCACUUGAUUUUGAAUCACUUGAGAUAUGCAAAUCAUACCACAUGGGCAAGAUGACUGAAAAGCCUCAUUUUCAGUAAGAUGGAACAAGAUAGCAACUUGUUGGAAGUAACACAUUUUGAUGUGUGCAGUCGAAUGAGUGCUGAGGCAUGCAGUGAAUAUCAUUAUGUUCUUACUUCACAGAUGAUUCGAGUAAAUGUUGAGUAUAUUUACUUGAUGAAACACAAGUCUGAAUUAUUGAAUGGUUCAAGUAAUUUCAGAGUGAAGUAGCAGAUCAUUGUGACAAGAGGAUAAAAUGUCUAUAAUAUGAUCAUAGAGAUGAAUAUCUGAGUUACGAGUUUUGACACACAAUUAAGACAUUGUGGAAAUUGUUUCGCAAUUAAUACCGCCUGGAACACCAUAAUGUGAUGGUGUGUCCGAACAUCAUAGUUGCACCCUAUUGGAUAUGGUGCGUACCAUGAUGUCUCUUAUCGAAUUACCACUAUCGUUCAUGGGUUAGGCAUUAGAGACAACCACAUUCACUUUAAAUAGGGCACCACGUAAUUCCGAUGAGAUGACACCGUAUGAAUUAUGGUUUAGAGAAACCUAAGUUGUCGUUUCUUAAAGUUUGGGGCUGCGACGCUUAUAUGAAAAAGUUUCAGGUUGAUAAGCUCGAACCCAAAGCGGAUAAAAUGCAUCUUCAUAGGAAACCCAAAACAGUUGGGUAUACCUCCUAAUUCAGAUCCGAAAGCAAUAUGGAUUGUUUCUAGAAUCGGGUCCUUUCUCGAGGAAAAGUUUCUCUCGAAAGAAUUGAGUGGGAGGAUGGUGGAGACUUGAUGAGGUUAUUGAACCGUCUCUUCAACUAGUGUGUGACAGGGCACAGGGAGUUGUUCCUGUGGCACCUACACCAAUUGAAGUGGAAGCUUAUGAUAUUGAUCAUGAAACUUCGGAUCAAGUCACUCCCAAACCUCGUAGGAUGACAAGGAUGCGUACUACUUCAGAGUGGUACGUAAUCCUGUCUUGAAGGUCAUGUUGCUAGACAACAAUGAACCUACGAGCUAUGGAGAAGCGAUGGUGGGCCCGGAUUCCGGUAAAUGGCUUGAGGCCAUAAAAUCCGAGAGAGGAUCCAUGUAUGAAAACAAAGUGUAGACUUUGGCAGAACGGCUUGAUGGUCGUAAGGCUAAUGAGUACAGAUGGAUUUCAAAAGGAAGACGGACAAUGAUGGUAAAUGUCACCAUUAAGAAAGCUCGACUUGUCGUUAAGAUGUUUUCCGACAAGUUCAAGGAGUUGACUACGAUGAGAUUUUCUCACUCGUAGCGAUGCUAAGAGUCUGUUGGAAUUAUAUUAGCGAUUACUGCAUUAUUUAUGAAAUCUUGCAGAUAGGAUGUCAAAACAUUGUUUCCUCGACGAUUUUAAUGAGGAAAGGUUGUAUGUGAUACAACCGGAAGGUUUUGUCAAUCCCGAAAGAUGCUAAUAAGUAUGCAAAGCUCCAGCAAUCCUUCUAAGGACUGGAGUGAGCAUCUCGGAGUUGGAAUGUAUGCUUUGAUGAUGAUCAAAAAUUUUGGGUUUGUACAAAGUUUAUGAGAAACUUGUAUUUCCAAAGAAGUGAGUGGGAGCACUAUAGAAUUUCUCAUGAGUAUAUGUUGUUGACAUAUUGUUGAUCAGAAAUGACGUAGAAUUUCUGGAAAGCAUAUAGGGUUAUUUUGAAAGUGUUUUUCAAUGGAAAGCCUGGAUUAAGCUACUUGAACAUUGAGCAUCAAGAUCUAUAAGGAUAGAUCAAAAUGCUUAAUAAUACUUUCAAAUGAGCACAUACCUUGACAUGAUCUUGAAGGUGUUCAAGAUGGACCAGUCAAAGAAGGAGUUCUUGCCUGAGUUGUAAGGUACGAAGUUAAGACUUAAAGCUCGACCACGGCAGAAUAGAGAGAAAGGACGAAGGUCGUCCCCUAUGCUUAAGACGUAGGCUGUUCAGUAUGCUAUGCUGUGUACCGCACCUGAAGUGUGCCUUGCCAUGAGUCAGUCAAGGGGUACAAGAGUGAUCCAAGAAUGGCUCACAGGACAGCGGUCAAAGUUAUCCUUAGUAACUAGUGGACUAAGGAAUUUUCUCGAUUAUGGAGGUGGUAAAAGAGUUCGUCGUAAAGGUUACGACGAUGCAAGCUUGACACCUAUCCGGAUAGCUCUGAGUAGAGAGACCGGAUACAUAUAAUGGAGCAAUAAUUUAGAAUAGCUCCAAGUAGAACAGUUGUUUGGAAUAGCUCCAAAUAGAGCGUGGUAGCUGCAUCUAGGAGAUGACAUAGAGAUUUGUAAAGCACACACGGAUCUGAAAGGUUCAGACCCGUUGACUAAAACCUCUCUCACAAGCAACAUGAUCAAACAUAAAACUCAUUGAGUGUUAAUCACAUAGUGAUGUGAACUAGACUACUGACUCUAGUAAACUCUUGGGUAUUAGUCACAUGGCGAUGUGAACUAGAUUAUUGACUCUAGUGCAAGUGGGAGACUGUUGGAAAUAUGCCCUAGAGGCAAUAAUAAAAGUAUUAUUAUUAUAUUUUCUUGUUCAUGAUAAUUGUCUUUUAUUCAUGCUAUAACUGUAUUAUCCGGAAAUCGUAAUACACGUGUGAAUACAUAGACCACAAUAUGUCCCUAGUGAGCCUCUAGUUGACUAGCUCGUUGUGAUCAACAGAUAGUCAUGGUUUCCUGGCUAUGGGCAUUGGAUGUCGUUGAUAACGGGAUCACAUCAUUAGGAGAAUGAUGUGAUGGACAAGACCCAAUCCUAAGACUAGCACAAAAGAUCGUGUAGUUCAUUUGCUAGAGCUUUGCCAAUGUCAAGUAUCUCUUCCUUCGACCAUGAGAGCGUGUAACUCCUGGAUACCGUAGGAGUGCUUUGGGUGUAUCAAACGUCACAACGUAACUGGGUGACUAUAAAGGUGCACUACAGGUAUCUCCGAAAGUAUCUAUUGUUUUAUGCGGAUCGAGACUGGGAUUUGUCACUCCAUGUAAACGGAGAGGUAUCUCUGGGCCCACUCGGUAGGACAUCAUCAUAUGUGCAAUGUGACCAAGGAGUUGAUCACGGGAUGAUGUGUUACGGAACGAGUAAAGUGACUUGCCGGUAACGAGAUUGAACAAGGUAUUGGAUACCGACGAUCGAAUCUCGGGCAAGUAACAUACCGAUAGACAAAGGGAAUUGAAUACGGGAUUGAUUAAGUCCUUGACAUCGUGGUUCAUCCGAUGAGAUCAUCGUGGAACAUGUGGGAGCCAUCAUGGGUAUCCAGAUCCCGCUGUUGGUUAUUGACCGGAGAACGUCUCGGUCAUGUCUACAUGUCUCCCGAACCCGUAGGGUCUACACACUUAAGGUUCGAUGACGCUAGGGUUAUAAAGGAAGUUUGUAUGUGGUUACCGAAUGUUGUUCGGAGUCCCGGAUGAGAUCCCGACGUCACGAGGAGUUCCGGAAUGGUCCGGAGGUAAAGAUUUAUAUAUGGGAAGUCCUAUUUUGGCCACCGGAAAAUGUUCGGGAUUUUUCGGUAUUGUACCAGGAAGGUUCUAGAAGGUUCUGGAGUGGGGCCCACCUGCAUGGGGGGACCCACAUGGGCGUGGGUAGUGGGGGCAAGGCCCCACACCCCUGGUCAAGGCGCACCAAGAUCCCCCCUUAGAAGGAAUAAGAUCAUAUCCCGAAGGGAUAAGAUCAAGAUCCCUAAAAAGGGGGGAUAACAAUCGGUGGGGAAGGAAAUAAUGAGAUUUCUUUCCUCCCACCUUGGCCAACGCCCCAAUAGACUUGGAGGGCAAGAAACCAGCCCCUCCACCCCUAUAUAUAGUGGGGAGGCGCAUGGGAGCUACAUACGAAGUUCUGUCGCAGCCCUACCUCUCUCCCUACUCCUCCUCUCCCAUGGUGCUUGGCGAAGCCCUGCUGGAUUGCCACGCUCCUCCACCACCACCACGCCGUUGUGCUGCUGUUGGAUGGAGUCUUCCUCAACCUCUCCCUCUCUCCUUGCUGGAUCAAGGCGUGGGAGACGUCACCGGGCUGUACGUGUGUUGAACGCGGAGGUGCCGUGCGUUCGGCACUUGAUCAUCGGUGAUUUGAAUCACGACGAGAACGACUCCUUCAACCCCGUUCUCUUGAACGCUUCCGCUUAGCGAUCUACAAGGGUAUGUAGAUGCAAUCUCUUUCUACUCGUUGCUGGUCUCUCCAUAGAUAGAUCUUGGUGACACGUAGGAAAAUUUUGAAUUUCUGCUACGUUCCCCAACAGUGGCAUCAUGAGCUAGGUCUAUUGCGUAGAUUCUUUGCACGAGUAGAACACAAAGUAGUUGUGGGCGUUGAUGUUGUUCAAUAUGCUUACCGUUACUAGUCCAAUCUUGUUUCGAUGGUAUUGUGGGAUGAAGCGGCCCGGACCGACCUUACACGAUACAUGAGACAUGUUCCACCGAUUGACAUGCACUUGGUGCAUAAGGUGGCUAGCGGGUGCCAGUCUCUCCCACUUUAGUCGGAACGGAUUCGAUGAAAAGGGUCCUUAUGAAGGGUAAAUAGCAAUUGGCAUAUCACGUUGUGGUCUUGCGUAGGUAAGAAACGUUCUUGCUAGAAACCCAUAGCAGCCACGUAAAACAUGCAACAACAAUUAGAGGACGUCUAACUUGUUUUUGCAGGGUAUGCUAUGUGAUGUGAUAUGGCCAAGAAGAAUGUGAUGAAUGAUAUGUAAUGUAUGAGAUUGAUCAUGUUCUUGUAAUAGGAUUCAUGACUUGCAUGUCGAUGAGUAUGACAACCGGCAGGAGCCAUAGGAGUUGUCUUUAUUUAUUGUAUGACCUGCGUGUCAUUGAAGAACGCCAUGUAAACUACUUUACUUUAUUGCUAAACGCGUUAGUCAUAGAAGUAGAAGUAGUCGUUGGCGUGACAACUUCAUGAAGACACGAUGAUGGAGAUCAUGAUGAUGGAGAUCAUGGUGUCGUGCCGGUGACGAUGAUGAUCAUGGAGCCCCGAAGAUGAAGAUCAAAAGGAGCAAAAUGAUAUUGGCCAUAUCAUGUCACUAUUUGAUUGCAUGUGAUGUUUAUCAUGUUUAUGCAUCUUGUUUGCUUAGGACGACGGUAGUAAAUAAGAUGAUCCCUUACAAAAUUUCAAGAAGUGUUCUCCCCUAACUGUGCACCGUUGCUACAGUUCGUCGCUUCUAAGCACCACGUGAUGAUCGGGUGUGAUGUAUUCUUACGUUCACAUACAAUGGGUGUAAGACAGUUUUACACAGCGAAAACACUUAGGGUUAACUUGACGAGCCUAGCAUGUGCAGACAUGGCCUCGGAACACGGAGACCGAAAGGUCGAGCAUGAGUCGUAUGGUAGAUACGAUCAACAUGAAGAUGUUCACCGAUGAUGACUAGUCCGUCUCAUGUGAUGAUCGGACACGGCCUAGUUGACUCGGAUCAUGUGAUCACUUAGAUGACCAGAGGGAUGUCUAUCUAAGUGGGAGUUCAUAAGAUGAACUUAAUUAUCCUGAACAUAGUCAAAAGACCUUUUGCAAAUUAUGUCGUAAGCUCGCGCUUUAGUUCCACUGUUUAGAUAUGUUCCUAGAGAAAAUAUAGUUGAAAGUUGAUAGUAGCGAUUAUGCGAUCAGUAGAAAGCUUAUGUCCUUAAUGCACCGCUCAGUGUGCUGAACCCCAACGUUGUUUGUCGAUGUUGCGAACAUCGGACAUACACGUUUUGAUAACUACGUGAUAGUUCAAUUAAAUGGUUUAAGUAGAGGCACCAAAGACGUUUUCGAAACAUCGCGGAACAUAUGAGAUGUUUCGAGGGCUGAAAUUGGGAUUUCAGGCUCGUGCCCACGUCAAGAGGUAUAAGACCUCCGAUGAUUUUCUUAGCCUGCAAACUAAGGGAGAAAAGCUCAAUCGUUGAGCUUGUGCUCAGGUUGUCUGAGCACAACAAUCACUUGAAUCGAGUGGGAGUUGAUCCUCUAGAUGAGAUAGUGAUGUUUCCCCAAAGUCAUUGCCACCAAGCUGCUAGAGCUUCGUGAUUAACUAUAACAUAUCAGGGAUAGAUAUGAUGAUCCUUGAAAUAUUCAUGAUGUUUGACACCGCGAAAGUAGAAAUCAAGAAGGAGCAUCAAUUGUUGAUGGUUGGUGAAACCACUAGUUUCAAGAAGGGUAAGGGAACAAAGGGAUACUUCAUGAAACGGCAAUCCAGCUGCUGCUCUAGUGAAGAAACCCAAGGUUGAACCCAAACCCGAGACUAAGUGCUUCUGUAAUAAGGGGAACAACCACUGGAGCAGCAUUACCCUAGAUACUUGGUAGAUGAGAAGGCUGGCAAGGUCGAUAGAAGUAUAUUGGAUAUACAUUAUGUUAAUGUGUACUUUACUAGUACUCCUAGUAGCACCAGGGUAUUGGAUACCGGUUCGGUUGCUAAGUGUUAGUAACUCGAAAUAAAAGCUACGGAAUAAACGGAGACUAGCUAAAGGUGAGCUGACGAUAUAUGUUGGAAGUGUUUCCAAGAUUGAUAUGAUCAAGCAUCGCACGCUCCCUCUACCACCGAGAUUGGUGUUUGCGUUGAGCAUAGACAUGAUUGGAUUAUGUCUAUCGCAAUACGGUUAUUCAUUUAAGGAGAAUAAUGGUUACUCUAUUUUUGAAUAAUACCUUCAAUGGUCUUGCACCUAAAGGAAUGGUUUAUUGAAUCUUGGUCGUAGUGAUACACAUUUUCAUGCCAAAAGAUAUAAGAUAGUAAUGAUAGUACCACUUACUUGUGGCACUGCCAUGUAAGUCAUAAUGGUAUAAAACGCAUGAAGAAGCUCCAUGUUGAUGGAUCUUUGGACUCACUCGUUUUUGAAAAGUUUGAGACAUGCGAACCAUGUCUAUUGGUGUAUAUGCAUGAAGAAACUCCAUGCAAAUGGAUCGUUCGGACUCACUUGAUUUUGAAUCACUUGAGAUAUGCAAAUCAUACCACAUGGGCAAGAUGACUGAAAAGCCUCAUUUUCAGUAAGAUGGAACAAGAUAACAACUUGUUGGAAGUAACACAUUUUGAUGUGUGCAGUCGAAUGAGUGCUGAGGCAUGCAGUGAAUAUCAUUAUGUUCUUACUUCACAGAUGAUUCGACUAAAUGUUGAGUAUAUUUACUUGAUGAAACACAAGUCUGAAUUAUUGAAUGGUUCAAGUAAUUUCAGAGUGAAGUAGCAGAUCAUUGUGACAAGAGGAUAAAAUGUCUAUGAUAUGAUCAUAGAGAUGAAUAUCUGAGUUACGAGUUUUGGCACACAAUUAAGACAUUGUGGAAAUUGUUUCGCAAUUAAUACCGCCUGGAACACCAUAAUGUGAUGGUGUGUCCGAACAUCAUAGUUGCACCCUAUUGGAUAUGGUGCAUACCAUGAUGUCUCUUAUCGAAUUACCACUAUCGUUCAUGGGUUAGGCAUUAGAGACAACCACAUUCACUUUAAAUAGGGCACCACGUAAUUCCGAUGAGAUGACACCGUAUGAAUUAUGGUUUAGAGAAACCUAAGUUGUCGUUUCUUAAAAGUUUGGGGCUGCGACGCUUAUAUGAAAAAGUUUCAGGUUGAUAAGCUCAAACCCAAAGCGGAUAAAAUGCAUCUUCAUAGGAAACCCAAAACAGUUGGGUAUACCUCCUAAUUCAGAUCCGAAAGCAAUAUGGAUUGUUUCUAGAAUCGGGUCCUUUCUCGAGGAAAAGUUUCUCUCGAAAGAAUUGAGUGGGAGGAUGGUGGAGACUUGAUGAGGUUAUUGAACCGUCUCUUCAACUAGUGUGUGACAGGGCACAAGGAGUUGUUCAUGUGGCACCUACACCAAUUGAAGUGGAAGCUUAUGAUAUUGAUCAUGAAACUUCGGAUCAAGUCACUCCCAAACCUCGUAGGAUGACAAGGAUGUGUACUACUUCAGAGUGGUACGUAAUCCUGUCUUGAAGGUCAUGUUGGUAGACAACAAUGAACCUACGAGCUAUGGAGAAGCGAUGGUGGGCCCGGAUUCCGAUAAAUGGCUUGAGGCCAUAAAAUCCGAGAGAGGAUCCAUGUAUGAAAACAAAGUGUAGACUUUGGCAGAACGGCUCGAUGGUCGUAAGGCUAAUGAGUACAGAUGGAUUUCAAAAGGAAGACGGACAAUGAUGGUAAAUGUCACCAUUAAGAAAGCUCGACUUGUCGUUAAGAUGUUUUCCGACAAGUUCAAGGAGUUGACUACGAUGAGAUUUUCUCACUCGUAGCGAUGCUAAGAGUCUGUUGGAAUUAUAUUAGCGAUUACUGCAUUAUUUAUGAAAUCUUGCAGAUAGGAUGUCAAAACAUUGUUUCCUCGACGAUUUUAAUGAGGAAAGGUUGUAUGUGAUACAACCGGAAGGUUUUGUCAAUCCCGAAAGAUGCUAAUAAGUAUGCAAAGCUCCAGCAAUCCUUCUAAGGACUAGAGUGAGCAUCUCGGAGUUGGAAUGUAUGCUUUGAUGAUGAUCAAAAAUUUUGGGUUUGUACAAAGUUUAUGAGAAACUUGUAUUUCCAAAGAAGUGAGUGGGAGCACUAUAGAAUUUCUGAUGAGUAUAUGUUGUUGACAUAUUGUUGAUCAGAAAUGACGUAGAAUUUCUGGAAAGCAUAUAGGGUUAUUUUGAAAGUGUUUUUCAAUGGAAAGCCUGGAUUAAGCUACUUGAACAUUGAGCAUCAAGAUCUAUAAGGAUAGAUCAAAAUGCUUAAUAAUACUUUCAAAUGAGCACAUACCUUGACAUGAUCUUGAAGGUGUUCAAGAUGGACCAGUCAAAAAAGGAGUUCUUGCCUGAGUUGUAAGGUACGAAGUUAAGACUUAAAGCUCGACCACGGCAGAAUAGAGAGAAAGGACGAAGGUCGUCCCCUAUGCUUAAGACGUAGGCUGUUCAGUAUGCUAUGCUGUGUACCGCACCUGAAGUGUGCCUUGCCAUGAGUCAGUCAAGGGGUACAAGAGUGAUCCAAGAAUGGCUCACAGGACAUCGGUCAAAGUUAUCCUUAGUAACUAGUGGACUAAGGAAUUUUCUCGAUUAUGGAGGUGGUAAAAGAGUUCGUCGUAAAGGUUACGAUGAUGCAAGCUUGACACCUAUCCGGAUAGCUCUGAGUAGAGAGACCGGAUACAUAUAAUGGAGCAAUAAUUUAGAAUAGCUCCAAGUAGAACAGUUGUUUGGAAUAGCUCCAAAUAGAGCGUGGUAGCUGCAUCUAGGAGAUGACAUAGAGAUUUGUAAAGCACACACGGAUCUGAAAGGUUCAAACCCGUUGACUAAAACCUCUCUCACAAGCAACAUGAUCAAACAUAAAACUCAUUGAGUGUUAAUCACAUAGUGAUGUGAACUAGACUACUGACUCUAGUAAACUCUUGGGUAUUAGUCACAUGGCGAUGUGACCUGUGAGUGUUAAUCACAUGGCGAUGUGAACUAGAUUAUUGACUCUAGUGCAAGUGGGAGACUGUUGGAAAUAUGCCCUAGAGGCAAUAAUAAAAGUAUUAUUAUUAUAUUUCCUUGUUCAUGAUAAUUGUCUUUUAUUCAUGCUAUAACUGUAUUAUCCGGAAAUCGUAAUACAUGUGUGAAUACAUAGACCACAAUAUGUCCCUAGUGAGCCUCUAGUUGACUAGCUCGUUGUGAUCAACAGAUAGUCAUGGUUUCCUGGCUAUGGACAUUAGAUGUCGUUGAUAACGGGAUCACAUCAUUAGGAGAAUGAUGUGAUGGACAAGACCCAAUCCUAAGACUAGCACAAAAGAUCGUGUAGUUCAUUUGCUAGAGCUUUGCCAAUGUCAAGUAUCUCUUCCUUCGACCAUGAGAGCGUGUAACUCCUGGAUACCGUAGGAGUGCUUUGGGUGUAUCAAACGUCACAACGUAACUGGGUGACUAUAAAGGUGCACUACAGGUAUCUCCGAAAGUAUCUAUUGUUUUAUGCGGAUUGAGACUGGGAUUUGUCACUCCGUGUAAACGGAGAGGUAUCUCUGGGCCCACUCGGUAGGACAUCAUCAUAUGCGCAAUGUGACCAAGGAGUUGAUCACGGGAUGAUGUGUUACGGAACGAGUAAAGUGACUUGCUGGUAACGAGAUUGAACAAGGUAUUGGAUACCGACGAUCGAAUCUCGGGCAAGUAACAUACCGAUAGACAAAGGGAAUUGAAUACGAGAUUGAUUAAGUCCUUGACAUCGUGGUUCAUCCGAUGAGAUCAUCGUGGAACAUGUGGGAGCCAUCAUGGGUAUCCAGAUCCCGCUGUUGGUUAUUGACCGGAGAACGUCUCAGUCAUGUCUACAUGUCUCCCGAACCCGUAGGGUCUACACACUUAAGGUUCGAUGACGCUAGGGUUAUAAAGGAAGUUUGUAUGUGGUUACCGAAUGUUGUUCGGAGUCCCGGAUGAGAUCCCGGACGUCACGAGGAGUUCCGGAAUGGUCCGGAGGUAAAGAUUUAUAUAUGGGAAGUCCUAUUUUGGCCACCGGAAAAUGUUCGGGAUUUUUCGGUAUUGUACCAGGAAGGUUCUAGAAGGUUCCGGAGUGGGGCCCACCUGCAUGGGGGGACCCACAUGGACGUGGGUAGUGGGGGCAAGGCCCCACAGCCCUGGUCAAGGCGCACCAAGAUCCCCCCUUAGAAGGAAUAAGAUCAUAUCCCGAAGGGAUAAGAUCAAGAUCCCUAAAAAGGGGGGGUAACAAUCGGUGGGGAAGGAAAUAAUGAGAUUUCUUUCCUCCCACCUUGGCCAACGCCCCAAUAGACUUGGAGGGCAAGAAACCAGCCCCUCCACCCCUAUAUAUAGUGGGGAGGCGCAUGGGAGCUACAUACGAAGUUCUGGCGCAGCCCUACCUCUCUCCCUACUCCUCCUCUCCCAUGGUGCUUGGCGAAGCCCUGCUGGAUUGCCACGCUCCUCCACCACCACCACGCCAUUGUGCUGCUGUUGGAUGGAGUCUUCCUCAACCUCUCCCUCUCUCCUUGCUGGAUCAAGGCAUGGGAGACAUCACCGGGCUGUACGUGUGUUGAACGCGGAGGUGCCGUGCGUUUGGCACUUGAUCAUCGGUGAUUUGAAUCACGACGAGAACGACUCCUUCAACCCCGUUCUCUUGAACGCUUCCGCUUAGCGAUCUACAAGGGUAUGUAGAUGCACUCUCUUUCUACUCGUUGCUGGUCUCUCCAUAGAUAGAUCUUGGUGACACGUAGGAAAAUUUUGAAUUUCUGCUACGUUCCCCAACACUAUGUUCCCCAACACCGGUGUCAUGUGCAAAGCUAGUCACUGCUAGUGUUUUUUGAUGUUUUUUCCAUUUGAUUUCUGAUGCGGCAACUCAUUGUCCUGAAAAUUUGUGCGGUGCAGGCAAAAUUGAAAGAUGUGAAGAACAUGAAUUGGUGUAAGUUUAUUGCCGACUUCCUGCACGAUGCAUUCUCAAGCAAGAUGUACCAGAAGGGUUGUCGACUGCAUUUAAUGGUAUUUUUUUACCAGUUCUUUCUGUGAACACUCUUUUUAACACCUUUUAUUCAUGCGUGGCAACCUGAUCAUAACAAGAUGGCAACUGCCAUAAUGACAAUAUGGCAACUGCCAUAAUGACAAUAUGGCAAUUGCCAUAAUAACAAUAUGGCAACUGCCAUAAUGACUAUGAUGGCAACUGCCAUCAUACUAUGAUGCCAACUGCCAUCAUACUAUGAUGGCAACUGCCAUCAUGACAAUAUGGCAACUGCCAUCACACUACGAUGGUAACUAGCACAUACAGAUGGCAACUUCUUCUUUUUUCUCUUUUUAAGCACUUCAACUUGAUGAUCAUGGGAACUUACAUUAUCCUGUUUUUUCGCAAAAUACCAUGAUGGCAACUGAUAUUCCUUUAUUUUUAAAAUUGUUGUACAUCAGCUCAUGUACGUCGACUGUCUUGAUCUUUCCACCGUGGAUUUCACUGGGACAGGAGGCCCGCCGCCUACGCACAAGUUUGCUGUUUCUGCAUGGACUAUCGAUGCUGUCAAGGCCGUGCUUGCUGCAGACGGGGUAACUGAUACCAAAUAUGGAAAACUACAUGUUAGUUCUGGUUUCUUUCUCUGCACGACAUGCUUAUAAAUUUUUGCGGCAUAACAUAUGAAAAAAUCGUCAUGCGGCAACCGUCUGUGGUUCACAAUAGAUGACUACCUUUGUUAGCCACGGCUGUCUGCGUAUGGUAUCCAUGUCUCACUCCACAUGGCAACUCUGUCAUUCAUGCUGAAACUUAUAUUCGCGCCUUUUUUUGUUGCAUUUGCAACACAUGAACUGCUGGUCAGUGUUCAUCAUUCUUUCUCUUACAUCCUAGCUAUUUUUUUUGUUUGUUCCAGCUGAUGGCCAAGCAUGCUAUAGACUACAGUGUGUUUGGGGGGCCUCAAAACUUUGGAAAGUGGAUGGACGUGCACUCAGCUCCGUCUUGCCCUACUGAGGUAAUCAAAAGAUCUAUAUCUAUGGUUGCCUUGGAUUAUUUUUGAUGUCGCGCAAGUGACUGUAAUAUGGGUGGUUAUUGCUGCUUCUUAUUUCGUGCACAAGCAAGGGCACCUGUUCAGCAUCUAAUUGGGCAGUUUGCAUCCGGAAUGACUGGCUUGCUCAGGAAGUUGGUUGAGGGGUGGACGUCUCUUAGUGGCUCUGACAGCAACGCGGUUGCGAGGCAGUUCACUACAUUUGUCCCAGAAUGGACACAUCGGCCAACUGGUUGCCGUGGCCGGUAUGACUACAACAGUUCCCAAGAGCUUGCUGACACACAAGAUGAACUAGAUGGAGACACCGGUCUCAGCAAGGAUGACGACGAUGACAUGGAGAACAUGCAACAGGACACCGAUGAUGAUGAACAUGCUGAAGUUCGUGCAGGUGGUAACAAGGGCAAGGAUGCACCAGAUGUCCCCCCACCGGAGAAAGUCAAAGAACAUACGGGUGCGAGAGGCGAGGGGGUGUUGCCAUCAAAGAGGGGGAGGGCUCCAGAGGAUGUUGGGCAGGGUUCUCCUGGCAAGAGGUCUAGGACCGAUCCCGUAGCUGCUAGGAGGAGGUUCGACUUUAAUUUUAGUUUUUUGUUUUGUCUAUAUUUUUGGAAUAGACUGAUCCCUUUUUGCAUUUGUUUUUGCUAAGCGCGGCAACGAGUUUGCUGUCUGACAAUUGCCACCUUUUUCCCUCCAUCUUAUACGUGCAGUGAGGCGAUAGCUGGUGGACGAGUAGUUACGAAGAAAUAGGCACCGACGCCAACCUGUGUUUCUGCUCGGUUGAACAAAGGUGCCCCCAUUGCUGGUGACACCCCUUCCACCAGGUCAUCUCCUCGAACGACAACGUCCAACACCGGUGAUCCUGUCGUGUUGCUAGACCUUAGAAAGCCAGUCAAGAAGUAGGUUUUCCAUGUGCUUUCAUUAACAUAGUGCUAUAUUUUUUGAUUUUUCAAUGCAUCUGUUCAGCUUGUCACAUGGGCUUCUGUCAUCAUUCCCACAUGGCAACUUCUGUUUUUCAAAUGAUUUUCCUACUUUUUUAAGUGCAUGGCAACUCCUACUUGUUUUUACAUGGCAACUGCUAUCUAGGCCAAAUGACAACUCUUAUUGUACCUAAUGGCAACUGCCAUCUUUUCCAUUGGCUUGUGUGCUCAUCCCAUACCUAGUUUUGAAAUUGCAUUCCUGGCAAAUUAGACAUUUUUAUCAUUCUUCAAGUUGGCUAACAUGGCAACUAUUGCUGAAUUUGCAUGGCAGCUGCUAACUAUGCCACAUGGCAACUCAUAUUCCCCUUACAUGGCAACUACCAGCUUUUCCACUUAUUUUUCAUUUUUUUAGAUUUCUACCAUGUCAAAUGUUUUUUGUUCAUUUUUAAUACCUUUUUCAUGUGCUUUCUUUUUUGCAGGGUGAAGAAGACUACUACACGCGGGGCCAAGCAUAUCAGUAGGGACCCACUCGAACGCCUUCAUUCAAAGUUGUCAACACGGGGCAACUCAGAUGUUCAUGAGGCGCCAGUCGACAAAACUGCUGCUGCACCGUCAACUGUUCCCACUAACUCUGACGCAAGUGGCCGACCAUCUCCGCCGGUUGCAGAUGUGCAGGUUAGAACAACAUGCAUCCGUACAUCGGGGAGUGACGAGUCGGUAUCUGCCAGGACAGCUGAAAUAUUGCCAACUCUUCUGGCAAUGAAGGAUGUUGCCGUGAGCCAUGCCACCCCAUCAGCAAGCGUUGAAGUGGACGCUCCUGAGACCAACCUAAGCAAGGAAGAUUCCCACUCAUCUGACACUGAUUCCAAGCGCGUGCAUGGUGGCACUCCUGUGUCCACGACAGAAGUGGCUGAGGCGGCAGUUCAUAAUGAUAUGCCAUCUACAGGUGAGAGUCUUGGCACAACAGCUCCAGCUCCUGUCGGUGCAGAUACUGCUAAGGCGACUGUUUCGCGUGCUGGUCUUCCACCUAGGCGUCGUAGCCCCCGCAAGCAAUCAACAGACAUACCCAAUGCACCAGCUGUAGCUAGGAGCAGCAGAGAUGAGUCUGGUUAUGUUCUUGCGUCCACACUAUUCCCGCCACCUGCCAAAAGCAAUGUGAUGAAGAAAUCGGAAGACCGGAGCACAACUAAUGCAGGUGUCAAGCCGUGCACGAGUGACGCAGGUGAACGUCCGGAGCAGACUGCGCCUUUACCCGCAGUGGAAAUCCCUAGCUUAAAUCUGCGCACUUCCAGGCUCCGAGUCAAUGUGGGUGUCCCCUACAGCCCAAACAAGAAGAUUGUCAAGAAAGUUGCGGCUAAUACCACUGACAACACGCCCCGCCCUACAAAUAAGCCCAAUCAUUCUAUAGUGGCCGAUUCAGAUAUGUUUGUUGAUCUUUUACCCUUGGAUCCUGCCUCGCAAGUUGUUCGUGGUCCAGCCAGUAGGCAUGAGAGGCACCCAAUGGCCUUCACCCCACCGAGCUUCAGCCUUGGCAUCAGUCAAGAUCAACCAGUGGUGCCAGAUCCUAUGCCAGUUGCCUUUGCUUUCCCGGGAGGCAUGCCCGCAAUGAUGGUGCAGCCAAUGGUCAAGGGCAGGAAGGCUGUCAAGUUCGCAGAGCCGAUAGUCCAAGGUACAUUUCUCAUGUGCUUAUCAUUUUCUUGUAUACAUCUUUGUAGUUUGACUUUAGUCCCAAUCAUAUUUUUUGGGGUUCUCACUUGUGAUGGCAACUGUUAUGUGAUGACAUGGCAACUGAAUUUGAUGCACCAUGUCACCUACAUUUUUUUAUUGCCAUGCUGCAUUUUACAUUAGGCAACCACAUGGCAACUGAAGUUGAUUCAACAUGGCAACUGUAGUUGUUGCCACAUGGCAACUACAGUGCAAUACACAUGGCAACUGGAUUUGCUGCGCCAUAUCACCUGCAUUUUUGUUUCCAUGCUGCAUUUUCCAUUCGACAAGCACAUGGUAAGUGGAGUUGACACAACAUGGCAACUGUAGUUGCUGUGACAUGGCAACUACAGUGCACCACACAUGGCAACUGGAUUUGCCUCCACAUGUCAACUCCCUACUUUUUGUACCUACAUUUCACAUCAUGCACCCUAUCUUCUCACAAUCCAUUUGUUUUUGAUUUCCAGGUAUCCUAAUCCACUUUUUGAUCCUUGCAGGCACCCCUGAGGAGAUUUCACCGUCACUUGAUGAAGCUUACCGCAGGAUCGAGGAGGCAUCAUUGCAGAGGAGGUCCUCACGAGGUCAGGGGCAAUCAAGUUUCAACGUGCCUGCAGAUACGGUAUCUGAGGAUACCAUUAGGAGUGCCACCCCUGGCUCUAUGAGGCAGCAGAGGGUAGUUCACCCACCUCCCGCGGAAGACUACGAGCCCGAAUUUAGGGCCACAAAGGAACAGACCCAGCUGUAUGAUAUUGUCAAGCGAUUUGGAAAUGCGAGGUCCGGCAGCAAGCACAUGAAGGAGCUGAAAGCGUAAGUGACCACACCACAUAAUCUCUCAUUUUGCUUUGCUCUUUUUUUCCAUUCAUCUUCUUCAUACUUUCUAUACAUGAUCCGCUUACAUUUUAGUUCUUUAUUUUUUUACUUAGUAGGCAUGAUUCUUUCAUGUUAUAUCAUUUUCAUACAGCUCAUGUUUGGACAGAACCGAGGUCAUUCAAUGCGAAGCGACGUACGUUGACCUGGGUGAUCUUGCCAAGUCCGUGAGGCCAAACGGUAAAAUAUCGAUGAAUGUAGUUGCAUGCGGGAUUAACUACAUCAACAAUCAUAUGGAUGUGUCUGCCGACAAAACAAUCAUGCAUUAUAGUGUGACCUGCAAAAUAUGGGAUGGUGACUUCCACCACAAAAUCAUGAGGAAGAAUUUUGCUCAACACGGUGAAUUCAAUCUCACACUGAAGAAAUAUGUGAGUACUCCUUCCCUGUUUGCACUUUUUUUCACAUGGUUUGGUUUUUUGCCAUCAUCCGCACUCUGUUUAUGUGGCAGAUGUUUCAUGUGGCAUCAGCUGCUGUGCAAACUGACUUUUUGAUUUUUACAUUCCAUGCAAACUAUGUGGCAACUUCAAAGUAAAAUACAUGACAAAUUUUGUUCAUACAUGGACGGCAACUUUCUUUCAACUACCCACCAUAACUAAACAUUCUACGUGAUUCUACUUUUUUUUGUCCCUCUGUUGUUCUUCAUGUGAACUCUGCUUCUCAUUUUCCUACACUUUUACAUGCAGGUCAUGUUCCCCAUGUUUCAGGAGCUUGCACCACAUGACCCACACGACAAGUGUGGUCACCACUAUGCGAUCUGUCUUGACCUGAAGAUUCAACGCUUUGAGGUGCUUGAUUCAAUGCGUUCGGCAGCUGAUGCAGACCUUACUUUGCAUGCUGAAUUCUUCAUCAACAACAUCAAAGAGACAUGGAACCAUCACUACAAAAACUCAAAGGUCCAGAUCAGACAUUUCCCGAUUGAGUACGUGGCAACUACGAAUCAAGGGAACACGUAAUUUCCUACCCCCUCCUUCAUGUGCCACUUACAUCAAUCCCACCCCUCUUUUGUUGUUACAUCUGAAUUGAAGUUUAUCAUUGCUAUGUCUGUCCUUUUUGCGAGCUCACUUGACUCUUUUUCUUGUGCAGGAUGGACUGUGGAUUUCACAUGUUAGAAUACUUUGCAAAGUGGGAAGGUAGACUUGUUCUCGCUGUCACAGCUGCAACGGUCGUUGAGCUCCGGAAAAUUUACACAUGGAACUGGUUGACGAAUGAAGAUUUCAACAAGCGGUCCAGAGCACGCGAGUUCGUGGAGGAAGCUGUCAAGAAAGUCAUUAAGAAGUACAAGUGAUCACGCGGCGUUACACACCAGACGCGUACCUUACAUUCUGUUGCCGAGGAAUGUAAGGUACUAUCUUUGUUCUUGUCAAAACUAUGUUCGUGUGCUAUGUUAUGACUGCAGCCCCGCGUAGCCUAGUAUGUAGUGGUGGUGUGUGAGCGACAUUUGAAUAUUUUAUAUAAUAUAUGUGUGGAUGUGAACCUAUUUAGGCAUGACAAUAGAUACAUUUUACGUUUAUCAUUAUUAUUAUGGUUUCAUCGUUUGUAGCAAUAGUUUGCUGCUUCAAAUGCGUCUAUGAUGUUUUAAAACAUGGCAAAUGUAGUUCAUCAUAUAUGAUUAGUGAAAGUCAUCGUCGUUUUUCAUUUGGCUGUUUUGCUUCUUCUUUUUCAUCGCUAACUGUACCGACUAGCAUGGUAGUUUGAUCACGUAGCCGUAACCUUUCCCACGGUUGAUGCACGUUACGCUUUUUCAACUUGUUUCCCAUGCAUUGCACACAACACACUAUGUGUGACUAAACCGCGUCGAAUUAACAUGGAAAUAUAUGCGAUGCAGAGUCAUUACAAAUAACAUGGCAUAUUUCAGUACAGUAACAUGGAAGAUUCAGUACAAACAACACGACAGAUUCAGCAUAAGCAACAUGGCAGAUCUAGUAUACUUAACAUGGAAGAUCCAGUAUACUUAACAUGGCAGAUCCAGUAUAAUUAACAUGGCAGAUCCAGUACAAUUAACAUGGCAUAUUUAGUAUAAAAUAGCAUGGCAUAUUUAGUAUAAAAUAGCAUGGUAGAUUAACUACACAUAACAUGGCAGAUUAAGUACCCAUAACAUGGCAACUGCAUUUAUCCAUUCAAUGUAUUUUCCUUCAACUUCUGAUGCCCCUCAAGAGUCAUUCUCCCAAUUUAAAAAAAAUCACAACAUCUCGGGUACAAAACAAAAUGUCCACAAGGACCAUGUCACAGCGCCCCAAUUUUGCUUACGGAUUACCCGUCCCUUUCUUUGGUUUCUUGUGUUUUGCUUGAAUCUCCAAUCCCGAUUUGUACCUUAUCUCUUUUGGACGACCCUUUGUGAUGGAACGGGGCGGGUUCCUGACCUGGGUUUGUGUGCUUGCUGUUCCAGAUCCUAUCUCUGAGUUUUUAGAUGAUGGCCCCGUGGACAAAGGCACACUUGAUGUGCGGGGGAACCGGUGUAAGGCUUCCUCAGUUUUCCUCUUCUUGAUCUCAUCAAGCUCUCUUUUCAGGGCCUUCAUGUGUUUUUCUACGACUCUUGUUGUCUCAUCAUUCUUGCACGCUUCAUCAAUUAGCUCAGCAUAGUUCUUUGUCAGCAAAACGUGCCUCACGGCUUCGAUGGUUGACUCAGGUAUCUCAUCAUGCACAGCCAGAACUGAGUUUGUUGUCUGCGGCGCCAACGCGUUGUCAGCGUCCCAAGUCCAUUGCCGCCUUAUGAAAUGACGGGGCAUCCGUGUCACAGCGUUCAUGUCCAUUACUUUUAGUAUGUGACAGCACACAAUGCCGUCCCGUUCAAACUUGCAGCAUUGGUAGUAGUAUUCACCUUGGCCUAUUGAGGCUUUCACGAAGUAGUUCCUUCCUUUGUCCGGGUCUUCAGGUUCUGAAUCUGACAUGCCCAAAAUAGAACACACCUUGAUUGUAUGUUCGUCCACCUGGAAAGCCGUGAACAUGUUGGCACGCUUUAUUUCUUCCUGGAAUCUGCAAGUUUUGUGUGUUUUCUGUUAAACUAUCAUGCACUCUUUUUUUGUAGCACCUUGUGUUGUCAUGGAAAUAGAAAUACAUUUUGUUUGAACAUGGCAAACAUAGUACAUUGAACAUGGCAAAUAUAGUACCUUGAACAUGGCAACUGUAGUAUAUUAGACAUGGCAACUAUAGUACAUUAGACAUGGCAACUGUAGUACACUAGACAUGGCAACUGUAGUACACUAGACAUGGCAACUGCAGUACAUUUUCAACUGGCCAUCGUCAUUUCCACACCAACAUUCCCAAUGGAAGCACAUUGCAUAAAACAUGGCAACUGCAUUUUAUUAAACAUGACAUCUAUAGUUGAGUAAACAUGGCAAUUGCAUUUCAGCAAACAUGGCAGUUGCAUUUUAGUAAACAUGGCAAUUGCAUUUCAGUAUAUGUGGCGACAAUAUAACAUUUUCAGUUGACAUUGGCAUUUGCAUACCAACAUGCUCAAUGGAAGUACAGUGCAUCAAACAUGGCAACUGCAUUUCACUGAUCAUGGAAAAUGCAUCCGAGCAAGCAUGGCAAACAGAAUUUUCAUUGAACAUGGCAACUGCAGCUGAGUAAGCAUGGCAAACAGUAUUUCAUUAAACAUGGCAACCACAUAUCAUGGCAACUGCAUUGCAUUCUAUAUGGCACCUACUGCCUUCGUGCUUUGCGCAAAUAAGAUUGUAACACAACUGACUUACUUGUUAAAGAUCUUGUUGGUAUAUAUCUUGCUCAUUUGCCUCUCCAUCGGUAAAUACGUUAGCAAUUUUGGUUGCUUUAGCGCGGUGUUCGGUUCUUGCUGUAGCUCAGCUCCCAGUAUUUUUUCUUGCAAAGCUGUGUACUGCUUGGCAAACUGUAGCAAUGAGUUGCCAGGUCUCACGUGCCGCUUCAAAACAGCAUUGAACCCCUCGCUGCACUGCGUAGUUUGUAGAAAUGGGAAGAAGCACUGCAUGAAGUAGGCCGGCACCCAGUACAUUUGCUUCUCCCACAGGCUAGCAAGAGUCUCCUUGUCUGGACUUGAUAUGUUUCUAUGGCCAUCCAUAUCCUUUCAAACUCCUCCAUCGUCAAGCUGUGGUCCACGCACAUCUCGAAUGCCUUGUGCGGCUCUGGACGGUCAGCAAAGAACGGUCCUAGAGUCUCCUCAGCCUUCUUUAUAAUGUGCCACUUGCAGUGCCUAUGCACUGCCAACGGAAAGACCUUCUCUAUGCCUGCAUGCAUGCUAAAAUCCUGGUCUGUUAUUAUGUUCAUCGGAGCAAGUCCAUCCAUGCACUCCAAGAAGGUCUUGAACAGCCAAACGUACCCAUCCGUGUCUUCGUUCCGAACGAGCCCACAACCGAACUGCAACGACUGAUUGUGGUUAUUUAUUCCUAUGAAUGGAGCGCAUGGAAUCUUGUACAUACUAGUGAGAUACGUCGCGUCGAAUAAAAUGCAAUCUCGGAAAUGUUUGUAGGCUCUCCUUGCAGCACCAUCCACCAAUACAUGUUCCUGACACGGUCCUCAUCGUCCAACCUUAUCCUGUAGAAGAAAUCUGGAUCUUCCUUCGCUUUCUCAUCGAAGUAGGCCAUCGUGGCGUCUAUGUCAGCCAACUUGCUCUCUCUAUGGUACUUUGCCUUUAGGUUUGUGACGUCAGCUGGUAUGUAGAGCAUGCUACUCAGAGUCCCCUUUUUGCUAUGGAUGAGUGAUAGUAUCUGGAGCAUUCUUGAUGGACCAACGUUACAAUCAUGUAGCAUCUUUAUUAAUUUCCUUUUGAGUGGGGUGAAUCCUUUGUGGGCGGUCAGAAAUUUUACCAGGUCAAACUUCUUUAUGAGUUUGUGGUUGUGCUCGUCAAAAUAUUCAGUGACCACAUACUGUGUCCCAUCUACGUUUAGCUUACACCAGACAGGGCAUCCUGUCUUGAGAAUGAUAUCUCUCUUUCGUUCCGGAACGACAGGCGCAAUACCUUUCCCUUUCUUGUUCCUACGUGCCUUGUGGCACCUCAUCUCACCUCUGCUGUACUCAUUAGUUUUCUUAAUUUUCCUAUGGUAUUCGGUGUUGACCGCAAACCCAUGGAACUUUGCAUAUGUCUGGUAGAAUUCCUUUGCUUCUGCAAACGAUUCAAAUCUCUGCCCAACGUACGGUGGCUGAGGUACCACGAUCUCUGAUUGCCCAUCAUCUUCAUCCCCUUGUGCUUCAUCAUCAGUUUCAUCAUUCACUUCAGUAUCGGCGGCAGGUUCAUCUACUUGAGUGUUGCCAGUGCUUGUGUUCAAAGGGGUGCCUGUCGGCAUUGCUGGAAUGAUUGCCAUUUCCGACUCUGACUCGGCAUUGUUUGCGGCAUGAAUGUCUGUUGGCUGGUGGAACGCGUCUUCCGUGCGCUCAGAGCUCCCCGCAGUAGAUGUCCCCGUGCCGCUGUUCACUGUAGUUGUAGGCCCUGUAAUAGAAAAAACAGGUACGAGAGUAAGAUUUUGCUUGAAUAACAUGUUUAUUGCAACGGAUCACAUCAACUUCAAGUGAUUUGGCAUGACAUCAUUCAAACAGCAAGCUGUGAGUCCGCGUGUUUACAUGCAUGGCAACUGUAGUUGUCCAGUCAUGGCAGCUACAGUCCAACAAACAUGGCAACUAUUGUUUGCCAAUGCACGACAACCAGCUCCUUUUUAGUACGAAAACUUGGAUUCUAUAUGCAUGGUAGCUGCUGUCCUGCAUACAUGGCAAAUACUGCUACCAAUAGAUGGUAACCACUGUGUUCUAGCAUCAAAACUUUUGCAUUCUAGGCUUGAUCUCACUAGGCAAAUGCGAUCAACCAUUAGUGCUGCACACAUGCUUUUAGCAGUUGGCAAAUUUUCGAAGACAAUCUAUGACUCAUUGCACACAACCGCUUGUUAGCGUUUUAUGCUUGAUUUUGUCCCCCAUCACUGCUACAAAUCUUAUUUUUCGUCACGUGCUAUUUUUUGCCACAAAAACAAAUGUAGUGCUCUUUUGUGGUUCAAUUUUUUCCUUACCUUGGUGUGCUGCAUGUGCCCAUCUUGUGUGGUCUAUCACACCAAAUUGAUGUGCUCUAUCUGUAAUCUGUGAAGCUUGCCACGAGAUGUUUGCCGGGGUACCACCACCGUAAUAACCUGUAAGCAUUGUAGUAGUUGGUCAAUACAUGACAACUGCAGUUUGUGCUGGCAUGGCAACUAUAGUUGUCCUGGCAUGGCAACUGCAGUUGUUCCUCCAUGGCAACUGCAGUUGUCCAGGGAGGGCAACAACAGUUGUCCAGGGAUGACAACUGCAGUUAUUUAUUCAUGGCAACUGCAGUUGUCCAGUCAUGGCAACUGCAGUUGUCAACUAUGCUCCUGCUGCUAAUUUACCGUCCACAACUUCACUUUUUAUGGACUCACCUGUGUAUGACGUCGAUGGCAGGUACAUGGGUGCUGCCUGAUGCCACGUGCUGCAUGAAGGCUCUGCAUUUUCCCCCGUAAUAACCCGUGAGUCUUUUGCCAACCUUUGCAAGUUUAUUUUUCAUGUCUAGAGCAGUAUGUGUUCUUUUUCGUAUGCGUUACCUUGAUUAGCCAUAUUAGCUAGUUGAAGUUGGCUGCCCGUACAUUUGUCAGUGUUAGCGCCAUGUGACUGAAUUUGCCACGGAGGCCCCCUGAGUGUGUUUUGGUCAUAAGAACCUGCGAAAAAAUGACAGUGUAUGACAUAAGUAGAAUGUCAUCUUCAUCGUUGCGAACAUGGCAAGUGUUCUUUUCUUUUGUUAUCACGCGUCAUACCAAUGCCGGCAUACUGUUAUAGUAGUGGCAGCAACGGCCCUGCAGAAAGGAGUUGACUGUACUCUGAUGCAUCCCAAGGGGACGUUUCUGGUCUUUGAGAACCCCAAGUAUCAGCGCCAUCUUCGUGAUUCAUUCUCUUCCGCGUCUUGUUUCUGCCAAUAUGCUCUCAAUCACUGCAUGAACAAGAACGCAUCAACAAUCCACAAAAAAUAUAUCCUUGUGCUGCUUGCAUGUAGAAGUUAACAUGUCAGUGUUAUCACAUUUUCAUGCGUAGGCAACCAACAUAUCAUGGCUAGUAGGACAUGCACAUCCACUAUCUUUUUUAAAAUCUGGGUGCUAGCUAUCCGUUUGAUUCGAUGGCACCAGCCACUACAAUAGGAUGGCAAGCAAUAAGUUGACAUGGUGGCAGUUGACGGCAAUGGUAGGUGGCAACUGACGUUAGACACCAGUGGCAAUUAAUUUUCACACCCCCCAUUAUUCCAAAUUUCUCAAUUUUCUCUCCCUUUUUAUGGAUUCCUACACAUCCAUUCAUUCACCAACUACAUGCAUCAAUCUACUGAGAACUUACGGUUAUCUCUAGCGUAUUACAUGGCAGAUCGAGUGUAUUCUGCUUGGCAACUGUGGAGACACACAAGCCAUGUAGAGUUUUACCCAUGUAGGAUGGAUCUAGUUGCGAACUUCGUCAGUAAUUACAGCAAUUUUCUGCCCAGAAUAAGUAUGAGAAUCAGUAGGGAGAUCAGGAUAAUCACCUGCUUUUAGCUGGUUAUCUUUGGAGGGCGUUGUUGGAGUGGGGGGUGGGGGGGGAGGGGGUGGGGUGGGGGAGAUAAGGGGUGUGGUUUGCGGUGGGAAGGCCCUACGGAUCUGCUUUGGUUGCCAUGGCAACCAGAGAAGGUCGACGAUGGAGGUAGGGGUUCGGGAGGUGGGAGAAGAUAGCGUCAGUCGGGAUUGGGGAUCGAUCAGAGGCCGUGACGGCUGGAUCGUGCGGGUUGCUGGGUCCUCUGGCCCGGACGUGCGGGCGGGGUUGCCACACACCGGACGUACGGGCUGUGCCUUUGCGCGCUCAGACGCGGUCGUGCGGGCUGGUUCCUGUCCAUGCCACACGAGGCGUGUGGCACAACUACCCGAUACACCACACGUGUGGCAGUUAUCGGGACCCUUUGUCAAUUUAUUUUUUGAUCUUUUCAUCGGAAAAUAGCCAUAAGCUACAAAUGGAGCUAAGCUCACAAAACAACCCCGUCACUCAUAAAAAUACUCAAUCUAAUGGAAUUUUGUAAGAUUGUACUAUGAACCAUCGAGUUCCAACUUAGUUAUGAACUGGCGACUUCCAACUUAGUUUUGACUGAAAAUUGAAAACCUGAAAGCAUUUAUUAAUUUCGCCUUGCUAAACUACGACCUUAUAUCACAUCACAUCCUGCCAUGUACAAAAUUGAAGUAACAUGUCCAGGCUUAGUUUUUUUUUCCUCUUUUUUGGUUAUUACUUGAAUUGAGUAUCUCACUUUUUUGUAAGGAAGACAUAUCAAACAACUUUUUCCAAACUAUUUUACCCUUUUCAAUAGUUUAUAUAUCUAUCAUAUUUAUCUUUUGUAUCCUUGUAUAGAAAUUUAAAUUGUUCUAUCGCCAAAAUAGAUGAGUGCGGCAACGCGCGCCAGUAAUGAUCUAGUAUAGAGUGAUUAUUCAACUGCAAAUCUGUAACAAAUUAAUGUCUACUUGAUGCACUUAAGAAAUUCUCGCCCAAUAUCAGAAAUGUUGUUUUUAGCUUCAUUCGCAUGAUAUUUGAGCAAGUAUAAUAGAAACUUCGCCACCGCCGCGUGCAAGCAACAACUUUAACCGCAAGUAGCCGAACAGGAACACCACUGGAGAUAACCGGCAAACCACAAACAGCGUUGGAGCUUCGACCACCAUACCGCUGUCGCAAGGUGGUGUCUUCAAGAAGAAAAUGACAUCGGUGCAUCGUCACCACCCAAUCUAGAGACUCUGGGCUUUCACCCGGGACGGGAUGGAGAGGGCAAGAGCAGGAUCAUGAUGCUGCCUUCAAGAAGGAACGACGCCGGAGCGCCGCCGACAUCAUGGCCAUAACAACCGGCCAAGGAUUUCCCCAAUCCAUCCCUACCAGACCCUCGACCCCACCAACCGCCAGAUCCAGCAAAUAGAGGACGCCGGCAUUGCCGGCCGACGCGACAAGAAGCUCCAUGGAAGGCUUCCGUCUGCAGAUGCGCUCCAAGGACGAACGUGGAAGCUCCGGGAGCCAGUCCACACCCGUUGCCGGCCCGCCGCCCACAUGGCCAGGCACGACGCCCCACCGCAUCCACACCAGCCACCGGUUGACUAUGGCCGCCACCAUAGCUCUAGGCGCACUGCGCGUAGAGCACCACCGAGCCCAUCACGCNNNNNNNNNNNNNNNNNNNNNNNNNNNNNNNNNNNNNNNNNNNNNNNNNNNNNNNNNNNNNNNNNNNNNNNNNNNNNNNNNNNNNNNNNNNNNNNNNNNNNNNNNNNNNNNNNNNNNNNNNNNNNNNNNNNNNNNNNNNNNNNNNNNNNNNNNNNNNNNNNNNNNNNNNNNNNNNNNNNNNNNNNNNNNNNNNNNNNNNNNNNNNNNNNNNNNNNNNNNNNNNNNNNNNNNNNNNNNNNNNNNNNNNNNNNNNNNNNNNNNNNNNNNNNNNNNNNNNNNNNNNNNNNNNNNNNNNNNNNNNNNNNNNNNNNNNNNNNNNNNNNNNNNNNNNNNNNNNNNNNNNNNNNNNNNNNNNNNNNNNNNNNNNNNNNNNNNNNNNNNNNNNNNNNNNNNNNNNNNNNNNNNNNNNNNNNNNNNNNNNNNNNNNNNNNNNNNNNNNNNNNNNNNNNNNNNNNNNNNNNNNNNNNNNNNNNNNNNNNNNNNNNNNNNNNNNNNNNNNNNNNNNNNNNNNNNNNNNNNNNNNNNNNNNNNNNNNNNNNNNNNNNNNNNNNNNNNNNNNNNNNNNNNNNNNNNNNNNNNNNNNNNNNNNNNNNNNNNNNNNNNNNNNNNNNNNNNNNNNNNNNNNNNNNNNNNNNNNNNNNNNNNNNNNNNNNNNNNNNNNNNNNNNNNNNNNNNNNNNNNNNNNNNNNNNNNNNNNNNNNNNNNNNNNNNNNNNNNNNNNNNNNNNNNNNNNNNNNNNNNNNNNNNNNNNNNNNNNNNNNNNNNNNNNNNNNNNNNNNNNNNNNNCCCUACCACUCCAUCACCAUGUCACUUGCAGAUAUUAACUUUGAUAGAGGCCAAGACUUCGCGGCUGAAGUUUGGAGGAAAUGGGGAGUUCCUAUCAACCAUGAGGAAGGCAAGGAUAUGGAGGAGUUCAUCCUUGUUGCAGAGUUCACCAGAUCUCGCAUUUUUUCAGACAUAAAUGGCAUGGAAAAUAAAUUAUUCUGGAACAAUUUUUAGCCAUUAAUCAGAAUUUUAUCCCUCCAAAUAGUCCGCACCAUCUGCCAUUCCAUUAACCAUUAGAGAAAAUAGAUGCAAAGAACUAGCCUUUUUUCCUCCUCCAUCCGGCAAUGGGAAGAGAAAGUAAACACUAUAAACUACAGGAAGCAUCAACCACUUUGAUCCUAAGUUCUGACUAUCCAUGUCAAAGAGUAAAACUACCGGAAUAAGUUGUAUAGAACAUGAAAAAACUUCCUAUCAAUGAGGUAUUCCAACCAUUUUAACUCAACACUACUUAUUCCUAAAUCAUGAUCAUGCAUCAGCCAAUACAUAACAUAACCUAAAAACAAGCCUGAUAUGUUGUUUUUAGGGCAUCUACCUGCUAGAGCAACUUAUAGGACAUAUUAUAUAGGUGGACGGACCAAAUUGAUUUUAAAUGCCUAAAAACAAUGUCUGUACAAAGGCAUUCCAAAGUUAAGCAGGACCCAACUUGUAGAAUAUAUAGUAAGAAGAAGAAUGGAUGGAAGCCAAAAUUGUGUAUUGUACAACUUCCGCUAGUGGUUAAUACUACAAGAUUUCAGUGGCAUGGAAAAUAUGUUAUUGUACUACUUUCCUCAGCAAUUUGCAAUGGCACACAUUUCUGAACAGAUUAUACAUCAUGUAGGUUUACAAAGGACAAACUACAAUUUCCUGCUGGUCUACAAGCAUAUCACCGGUUAAAAGUUAAAAACAAGAACAAUGCAAUUCUUAUUCAAGCAACACAGAUAAUAAAAGGUAUCACAAUAUGCAUAUCUCUAUUCAUGACGAUAGAAAUCGAAGGGAGGUGAUAUUCACCUUCCGUUUGAUGUAUUAGAUGGAGUGAAGUGCUCACAUGUCACAAUAUCGUCUACUUAGGCAUAUAUCUACACUUUCAGAAUUUGGACGAGAAGUUUUUAACCUCGCUGGGUAGUCGCUCUUGGUAUUCAGUCGCCAGUCAGAACACAAUAUAUAGAAAACUUCAGUGAGGUAGUCAAGAAAAAACCCAAAACUGCAGGUUCUAUUCAAAGGUAGCUAAAAGUUUCAAAUAUAUAGAACCAGUUGACUCACCAUGUAGAUGUCUAUAUCUUCAAGCAUGCAACCAAAAGUAUAUCAGCCAUCUGGAACUGUACUAUAACAUUCACGAAACAUGACAUAUGGAUCAUUACGUAUAAAAAAGGGUUUAGAUAGCAGCAGCAAUUACUGGUACUUCAGCUAAUGUAUCGGUGCAAGACGCCCUCGUUCCCGAGCGCGAACCCUUGGUUGUCGCCGAUGAACCUACAACAUCCCUCUUGCCAAACAUUGUGAUAAUUGCAGUUUCAGUGGACAAACAGACUCAGCUCCGAACAUGCUCAACAAAUAAUCUAUCUCCUACAGACUGCAUACAGUUCAUUUGAGUUACUGUUUCAAUCUUACCUAGUAGCAUCAUGUAAACAGCAUACAGUUCAUUUCAGUUAUUGUUACUUUUGAGUGGUAGCCCACGUCUAGAAUUCAAAAGCCCCGGCUUCGCACCGACGGUUCCUCAAUUGCUUCAACUAUCUGAAAAUGGAACCCAGUUAGAGGAAGUUGAUGAGCGCUUAAAGGCAGAAUAAAAGAACUAUUUCUCAUGCCAAACUAAUCAGGUUGAGAAGAGCUAGCCUCACCUCUGUGCCCUUACUGCGGAAAAGUCCACCGCCGCGCAUGUGGAGCGAGAGCCCACCAUCUGAUCUCCAUCCCAUGUUUUGUAUCUCCGUCUGCAUCGGCAGACAGGGAGGGAGGAAAGGAUCAGGGGGACUGCGGCGGGUGGUGCUGGAGGCCUCACACGGGCACGCUUGGAGUUCAUAGUCGUGACGGCGAUGGUGACCUAGAGGCGGCACUGAAGGAUGACAAGGGGGCGGGGAAGAGCAAACGGUGGUAGCGGCGGCCAUCUAGGGCUACACGGGAGCAUGUCGCUCACUAGGUGGGUUUGCGGGUUCGCGCUUAGGGUUCCUAAGAGGGCACUGCCGCCGCUGAAAUCCUAGUCAGGGGGAUGAGGAGUCGAGCAGGGAGGAGUUGGAUCGAGAGAGAGGAGUAGCCACCGAAGGUGUCGCGUCCAGGCUUGCGCGUGAAACAUAGACGUUAAUGGGCCGGCCAAAGUACACUGUUACGACGUGAUGUGAAAGAUAGGCAAAAGAUAGAAGUGGUGGAAUGUGGUGGGUGAUGCGAGACUACCAACUGAGAUAAUAGGAGUAGAGAUAUGUCCGUGGUCAUGGAUCCUACUUAAAACAGAUCCAUGAUUAGUACUACAUAACGGCAAUGCUACCAAGACAAGAUCGAACACUUCAUAUGGACCCAAUUUCUAGAUCGCAUCAGUACAACAGGGAUGCUUCAUGACCGGGUUGGCGCAGAGUGAUGGUCGAUUUAGUGGCGAGCUCCGGAGUGCCUCAGGUGAAGGUUGGGAUCGGGAUAAAUCCCUGUUGGCUUGGCCUACACCGACGCGGUGGCGUAUGCGGGUGCCACCGCACCUUCCUGGAGAGCGUCGGGGCUACCCUUCCUCUCUCCUCACCGCGUACCGGGGGAAACCCUUGGCAGAAGCGUCGUCAUCGCCGCGUCCCUUCUUGGAGGUGUUGAUUGGUACCGGCGCUUCAGAGGCUCGGAGAUUGGUGGGCGAUCUCCGGUGGAUGCCGCGGUCACGAGGCCUCUUCGUUUUUACUAUCGAUCCGCCAUUGUCGGCAUUUGUUUCUCUUGUAUUUUCUCUAUCAUUUCUUUUUGGCGUGACUGUGCUGCUUCCGCCCCAGCAUCUAUCGUUGGUUGUCUCGGUUGGUUGCUUUGUAUACAAUGAGGGGGGAAUCCCUUUUUCAGAAAAGCUCAAUAAAGAUGCAUAUUUCAGUAAUGUAAUACCAUUGGGAUAAUGGCUUUGAUCAUGACGACCCGCAGAAGAGAGGAGGGGGAGGGGACUAACCAUGCACAAUUUGCUUACCGAGGCAAAAUUUCCAGUGAUGCGGCAGAGGGGGUGGAGGAGUGGAACAUAGCAGCUUUGAUUGGAAAACGGUUGAUAUGCUCCGUCGUCAGCCACCACGACGCAAUCCUCCACGAUCUACAAACGUUCCAUGGACGCCUUCCGGUCAUCCCCCUCGUCACAGCAUCUGUCGCUCCGCCACCGGGUGGUCCCGGGGACUCAAACCACGCUGGCGCGCCCACGGCCUUCAUGGUGGGAGAAAAGGCUCUGUUGGGGAGGCGAUGCGCGCGAGGUGGAGCCACAGAGGAUGACACGGCCCCGGCGAAGAUGGCGGCGGCCGCGACCACGACGGACUCGGCCAGAGCUGGAGGAGAGAGAGGGGUGCAACAUCGACGCAAGGGGAUUGGGGCAGCGCCGAUGCGAGGGAGGAUCGGCGGGAGAUUGGGCGGGAUGCGGGUGGGAGUCGUGGGGCGCCUUGAUCGUGCUAGUUCUUUUUUUUCUUUUGUUUUAGUGCGAGAGAGAGAGGAGAGGUGGAAGGGGUAGGGAAAAUUUGGUUGAUUAAAGAUUGACCGUGAUUUACUUUUCAUAUGGAAGUUACCAAAUACUAUAAAAAAAUGAUCUUAUUGACAGAUAAAACUGAUUUAAAUAAAUUGUGGGUAAAAUCUGAUUUAAAUGUGUUGGUAGGAUAAAAAACGGUGGGAAAAAAUUAACCGGAAUGAGGCGAGACUACCAACUCAGACAUUCGAAGUAGAGAUGAUGUGCCUUGAAUGUACUGAAUUUCAGUGCGUGCAUUUUGUGUGGUGUGCGCGUGUGUGUUUUGUGUUUUAUGUGUGGGAGGUGUGCGUCCUUAGCACAUGAAGUUAAAUUAUUAAAAAAUCAGAAGUUUAAAAAAUAAAAUGGAAACAAAAAUAAAAUACACACAAUUUGUAAAAAGGAUUUUUUGCCUAACAAUUGUUUGUGCAAAUGUCUGUAAGAGCUACUAUGGACAAAAUCUUUAGUCGUGGUCAAAUGGAGCUCCACCUACCAUUCUCAACUUCCAGUCCUGGUCUAGUUCAUCUAAGAGGCUCCUAAAGCAACAAAAAAAUGUAGUGUGUUUAAAUUUUGCAGCUCAACUUUACGACCUUUUUAGACAAGUACUUACUUACCAAGGUGUAUAAAAGGCAAUAGUAUGUCUAAAUUGAUUCAUUUUUUCUAUGUUGAAAAACUGUAGAAGUUUGAUGGAACCCGGAAAAAUAUUAUGGAAAGAAGCUAAACAAAAAAAUCAUGGAAUUUUGAAAAAAUAAAAAAUAUGGACUGUCAAUGAAAAGGCCUAAGAAGGUCAAAUUAAAACUGGAGCAAUUUGAAAAAGAGUCUUAAAAAAUGGAUUUUCCCCGUAGAAAACCAAGAAGUUUAAAUAUAAAUAACAGAGCGGUUCAAUCUUUACGAAACUAGAGUUUCCACGUUGCUAAAGAAUAAACCAAGAAGUUCAAAUUUUAAAAAUAGGGCAGUUCAAAAAAUAUAACAAGAAUGGUUUUUCCUCGUUCCAAACAUAAAUCUACAGGUUCAAAAUUUAAACAACGGAGAUGUUUGAUUUUUAUUCUAUAACCAAGAAGGUCAAAUUUGACAAAUGAAUUUCCCCGUUUCUAAAGAAACAUAGAAGUUCAAAUAAAAAUAAAAGAGUGGUUCGAUGUUUACUACAAACUACUAAGUUUUCUCAUUACUAAAAGAAAUAAAACCUAAAGGAGAUUUUCUUCGUUAAAAAUAUCCCUAGAAAUUCAUAUUUAAAAAACAGAGUGGCUCGAUGUUUAUUAAAAAAUAGGAUUUUUUUUUCAAUUACUAAGAUAAAUAAAACCAAGAUGUCCAAAUAAAAAAAGAAACUCGAUGUUUAUACAAAAUUUAGAUUUUCCUCAUUAUUGAAGAAUGAAAACAAGAAGUUCAAAACUUAAAAACAAGAAGUUCAAAAUUUUAAAAUAGAGUAGUUCGAAAUCCAUAAAAAAGCAUUUUCCAAAUUUCUAAAUAAAAAACUCUAGAAUUUAAAAUUUAAAUAAAGUGUCGAUUCAAUGUUUAUUACAAAGCUAGGGUUUUUUCUGUUACUAAAAGAAAUAAACUAAGAAGUCAAAUUAGAAAAAUAGCGGAGUUUAAUAUUUAUUAAAAAAAAUCUUAGAAUUUGCUUGUUACCAAAGAAAUAAAAUCAAGAAGUUCAAAUUAAAAUAACAGAAGUAGUUUGAUGUAUACGGAAAACCCAAAAUUCUUUCUAUUCAAGGAAAAUAAAAGUACAAAGUUCAAUUUUUUUAUAAAUGUUUGAUGCCUAUUUAAAAACAUUUUUUUCUAAGACUAAAACUAAGAAGUUCAAAUUAAAAUAACUACGAAGUUCGAAGUUUAUAAAAAGCUAAGAUUUUUCUUCAUUACUAAUGAAUAAAAUGAAGAAGUUCAAAUUAUGAUAAAAGGAACAAUUCAAAAAAGUUAAAAAAAAAAA